rnacentral:lncRNA from 1 species
CGAAACUCUUAUGAAUUCCUCUGCAGUGGAAUACAAAGAAAAUAAAUGUGUGGUGGCAACUGAAAGUGAUGGCGAGGCGAAUACAAGAACAGAGAGUACCGAUUACGAUGGUUUUUAUGUGGAGCUUGGUGGGGAGUAAUACACAAGGAAUGCAAUCUGAAUUCUAGUUGUUGUAAAGUUAAGUAACGAUCCAAACUAGAAGUUCUCUGCCUAGUGCUGAUCAAAAGAUUCAAAGUGUAUAAAUAGAUCACACACGCAAAGAAAUUUCAGAAUUGAUGCAAACAAGGAGUAUGAUUGGGAUGCAAGUGUUGCAAUCAGACCCAACCAAAGUUUUGCAGCAAACAAAGAUAGCAAACUGGUUGCACUGGAUAUGAAACUUUCAGCACUUCUGCACAUAAACCAACUAAUCUUUCAGACUUUCUCUCUGAAUCUUUCUCAACUUUUUUUUUCACUUCACUUUUUUUUGCACUUCCUUUUCUAUUUUUUUUGACACACUUUUUUUUAUAACUAAACACAGUGAUCAGAUAUAAUACUUCCAAACUUGAUGAUAGAAAUAAAACAACAACUAGUAGCUAGAUAGGAUCAAAGAUAACACAAAGGAUGAUAUAGGCUAUAUAGAUUUUUUUGUGGGGAUUUUGGAUGUAAAAGAGGCACAAAGAACACGCGAAGGAUAAAUGAUCAGCAACUAAAACAAAGACUCUAAUGGACAGCGACUUAACUAAACUCACUAAAAUAGCAGAUUGAAACAAAGGUCUAAGCAAUAUAUUUUUCUGGCUUUUUGGUGGAUAGGACGAAGCAAAAAUAUAUAUGUAGCUAGAUAUAGAAUUCCUACCGUGGUAACGAAAGCUUUGAUACCACAUGAUGCGUCACGUUGUCCCGAUCUUCAUGACGUAGGAUGAACACCGAUGACUAGCUGAAGAACAGCCGAAUAACUUGCUGCAAGCAGCGAUAACUAGUGCAACCUGGCAAAUAAAACUCGAAGUCAACCACCGUCUUUAACCGGCAACCUGAAUCGAGGAUUCGCCCAACCACACUCUCAAGGAACCAACCAACAUAGCCUACAAUCAAUCAAGGAAUACCUUGAAGGGAGUAGGAGCACCAAUUGGGAGCGGAUGAAGCCGCCGCCUAUGUAAUCCCGCGAGGAAAUCACAAGAGCAAAGGGGUAGAGAUCACUCUUUGAAUUUGUUAGCACGUAGGUGAACAAAGGGUUUCUGUAUUUCAAUUAUCAAAAUCUUGGAUUACAAUGAGUCUUAGGGGGU